AUCCGUGAUAGAGGUGCGGGCAUGAUCAGUACCUUCCGGGAGCUGUCGGCAAAGAACGGAAGGAAAAGGCAGGCUUGCCGAAGCUGCGGGAUAUUGACACUAUGCUGCUGCUGGGGUUGCGUCGAACAGGCGCAGAACUGUCACCUUCGGGUGGAGCGCUAUCUUGCCG
rnacentral:ncRNA from 2 species